rnacentral:rRNA from 1 species
GACGAACGCUGGCGGCGUGCUUAACACAUGCAAGUCGAGCGGUAAGGCCCUUUCGGGGGUACACGAGCGGCGAACGGGUGAGUAACACGUGGGUGACCUGCCCUCAGCUCUGGGAUAAGCCUGGGAAACCGGGUCUAAUACUGGAUAUGACUCCAUGACGCAUGUUGUGGGGUGAAAGCCUUGUGCGGCUGAGGAUGGGCCCGCGGCCUAUCAGCUUGUUGGUGGGGUGANGGCCUACCAAGGCGACGACGGGUAGCCGGCCUGAGAGGGCGACCGGCCACACUGGGACUGAGACACGGCCCAGACUCCUACGGGAGGCAGCAGUGGGGAAUCUUGCGCAAUGGGCGAAAGCCUGACGCAGCGACGCCGCGUGAGGGAUGACGGCCUCGG